GGGAAAAGACCUAGAAGAGUUAUCACUAGUGGUAUCUAGUGACACUUCUACUUGUUCAAAGGACCAUAUUCCUUGAUCUCUUUCCCUCAUAUUUCCCUGUUGGAUUUCCAUGAUGGCCUGCUCUGUUCCUGGCAUCAGACCUACAGCAUCUUUUUGACUGUGCUCUUAGCUGCUGCAUCCAGGGGAGGCCAUGAACUGAACGAUGUCAGGUGCAGGAAGUGAUCUUUAUGAACAAGGAAUUCAAGCCCUGGAGAUUUGGAGCCUGGAUUACAGGUAGAGCUAAAUUGCCAGUCAUCUCCGCAUGGAACUACUAAGAAGCCUAGACACUCAAGCCCCAGGGUUGGGGUUGAGGAAGAAGAAAGUGAUCACGCUCAAGAAUUCAACAAGGCUUUCUGAAAUGCACAUUUGAUGGGAAAAAAUAGCUUUCUAUAAUAGCGACAAUUGGUUAAUAAAAAUUUAUUAAGCACCUACUACAUGCCAGGCUUUGUGCUA